rnacentral:tRNA from 1 species
CGGGGCAUGGCGCAGCCUGGUAGCGCACCUGCUUUGGGAGCAGGGGGUCGCAGGUUCGAAUCCUGCUGCCCCGACCA